rnacentral:rRNA from 1 species
AACGAACGCUGGCGGCAGGCUUAACACAUGCAAGUCGAGCGCAUCCUUCGGGGUGAGCGGCGGACGGGUGAGUAACGCGUGGGAACGUGCCCUCUUCUACGGAAUAGCCUCGGGAAACUGAGAGUAAUGCCGUAUACGCCCGCAAGGGGAAAGAUUUAUCGGAGGAGGAUCGGCCCGCGUUGGAUUAGGUAGUUGGUGGGGUAACGGCCUACCAAGCCGACGAUCCAUAGCUGGUUUGAGAGGAUGAUCAGCCACACUGGGACUGAGACACGGCCCAGACUCCUACGGAAGGAAGAGGUGGGAAUUCUUGACAAUUGGGGGCACCCCGGUUCCACCCAGGCCGCGUAAUCAAUAAGGGCCUAAGGUUUGUAAAGACCUUUAACCUGGAAGGAUAAUGCCGGUCCAACAGGAGAAGCCCCGGCUAACUCCGUG